GCAGAUCAAAGCUUUUAGUGCCAUGGCCUCUAGAUGUCAGUUUGGAUUUGUAUGUAGGUCUGAUGCUCCAGAAGUGACAGCUGUGAAGUGGGAGGUUGUGGAGGGUACAAUUAAUUUCUGAGUAGCCUAUUUGUGUGUUUCUGUGCAUGUACAUGUGUGUGUUUGUGUAUGUCUGUGUCUUUGUGUGGCAGUAGCGCAACCACAGACCACAGCCCCAGUGGUCAGCCAUGCGUUUGUUAAUUAAAGUACAUUUCUGUGUUUUCACGUUGACUGAAGUACUUUUCUGUGUUUGCUGCAUAUUUAUAUUCACCUUGCCAUUUCCUCACAGCCAACAACAGUUCAUUUGAAUUUAAACUAAUUAGCAAGUGGGACUAUGGGGGAGAGUCUGUCCUCUAGAACAUGGUUUUAAAUGUUUUCAUGGUAGUUUUAACCAGACAGAGAUUGAGUGAGAGGGUCAUGAAUAAAGCAUAAGUCCUUGGGGUCCAGAUUAUGUCUGCGUGGCUUCUCUCACUCCUGGGUUGUUGAAAUGAGGUUUAGGAAGUCACUUUACCCAAGGUAUUCUGUUCCUGUUUUUGUCUGAGUCCAUGGGAGGCUUCGUAAUGAAGUCAUGAUGAACAUGGUGAUUCAAUAACACGUUGUCUGGAGCAUGAAGACAUUCGCACAGGAGCAGGAAAACACGAAGAUCAACCGGGAUACGGGAAGGUGAAAAAAGGAAACCUGAAUGGUCAUUGGUCAGCGACGUGUAAGCUGAUGCCUGGGAUUGCUCCAAUCACAAUAGCAGAUUUCAUACUAUUUCAUCGUCAGGUUACUCACUCAGUCUGAUGUGUGUUGGUCUACUAGCAUGUGGGUGCCAACCCCCCCACCACCUCUGCCUCCACCUGUUAUCCAAAGGUUGUGCCAAAGGUCAAUGUUUACAAUAAUAUGACUAGAUAAAACAUUUCCAAUCAAUGAUGAGCAUGAAAGGCCCACUGUUUUGGUGCACAGCAAAUGUAAAUGGUAAAUGAUUACCGUCUAUUGCUAAUGUAUUUCACAUGGAGGUAACCACGUAUGGUCAGCAUAUAAGAGGGGGACACUGGCAAUGUCUUCCAACAUGGAGGAGGUAGACAACAAGGCAGAGGAGGAAAUCAGACCCCUGGACAGAGUCCAAACUACAAACUGAGUUACUGUGAACCAUCAAAAAUAGAUCUUUGUUGACUAAACAGGCGUUGUGGACACAAUAUCAUUGGCCAGUGAGCAACUGUCCAAGUGCCUGGACAGUGUGGGGGAAACAUAUCCAUGUGUGCAGCCAUAUCUGAAGAUGGGGUGGUAGGAUAUGAGCC
ensembl:lncRNA